rnacentral:rRNA from 1 species
UACGUAGGUGGCAAGCGUUAUCCGGAAUUAUUGGGCGUAAAGAGGGAGCAGGCGGCAGCAAAGGUCUGUGGUGAAAGACUGAAGCUUAACUUCAGUAAGCCAUAGAAACCGGGCAGCUAGAGUGCAGGAGAGGAUCGUGGAAUUCCAUGUGUAGCGGUGAAAUGCGUAGAUAUAUGGAGGAACACCAGUGGCGAAGGCGACGAUCUGGCCUGCAACUGACGCUCAGUCCCGAAAGCGUGGGGAGCAAACAGG